rnacentral:rRNA from 1 species
GAUGAACGCUGGCGGCGUGCUUAACACAUGCAAGUCGAACGGAAAGGCUCCUCCUUGCAGGGGUACUCGAGUGGCGAACGGGUGAGUAACACGUGGGUGAUCUGCCCUGCACUUCGGGAUAACCCUGGGAAACUGGGUCUAAUACCGGAUAGGACGAUGUUUUGGAUGCCAUUGUGGAAAGUUUUUCGGGGUGGGAUGAGCUCGCGGCCUCUCAGCUUGUUGGUGGGGUAAUGGCCUACCAAGGCGUCGUAGGGUAGUCGGCCUGGGGGGGGGGACGGCCACAAUGGGACUGAGAGACGGGCCAGACUCCUAAGGGAGGCAGGAGGGGGGAAAAUUGCAAAAAGGGGGCAAGCCUGAUGCAGCGACGCCGGGUGGGGGAUGAAGGCCUUCGGGGUGGAAACUCCUUUCGCUAGGGACGAAGCGCAAGUGACGGUACAUGGAGAAGAAGCACCGGCUAACUACGUG